rnacentral:lncRNA from 1 species
UCACAUCCUAUACAUGAUCUACUCUCAAUACAUGUAUAGGGUAACUCUAAUGCAAAAUAGGAAAGUAAACUACCAACUAGCACUAGGGCGCUAAGCCCUUGGCGCGAUCUUCUGCCGGUCCGCUCUCGUAUGUACCUGUACCCCAAAACCACACGGGGUGAGAACUAUAUAAAUAUAGUUCCCAGUGGGUUCGGCCGCCGACUCCGCCGAUCUUCCCACUAGGUCCAGGCUGGCACAGAUAGAUAGAUAGAAAGAUAUACGAAAAUAAACUGCUACUAUAUCUACUAUGCCAUCAAAGGAAAGGAGUGCAUGGAUUAUCAUCUAGCAACAAUCUACAAUCAUGCUAAUAUGCCUCCACAGUGAAAUGAAUACAACUAUAACAUAGUUAUGCAAUGCACUAUGUCUAAUCAUGGUAUGAAUGCAAUCCACUUAUGCUAUUCACGUUAUUGCCCAAUCCACUAGGCUACUUUGCCUAAGAUCUCAAAUCUAGUAGGUGAAAAGCUACCUCAUUCUC